rnacentral:rRNA from 1 species
GACGAACGCUGGCGGCGUGCCUAACACAUGCGAGUCGAACGGAAAGGCCCUGCUUUUGUGGGGUGCUCGAGUGGCGAACGGGUGAGUAACACGUGAGUAACCUGCCCUUGACUUUGGGAUAACUUCAGGAAACUGGGGCUAAUACCGGAUAGGAGCUCCUGCUGCAUGGUGGGGGUUGGAAAGUUUCGGCGGUUGGGGAUGGACUCGCGGCUUAUCAGCUUGUUGGUGGGGUAGUGGCUUACCAAGGCUUUGACGGGUAGCCGGCCUGAGAGGGUGACCGGCCACAUUGGGACUGAGAUACGGCCCAGACUCCUACGGGAGGCAGCAGUGGGGAAUAUUGCACAAUGGGCGGAAGCCUGAUGCAGCAACGCCGCGUGCGGGAUGACGGCCUUCGGGCUGUAAACCGCUUUCGCCUGUGACGAAGCGUGAGUGACGGUAAUGGGUAAAGAAGCACCGGCUAACUACGUG